rnacentral:misc_RNA from 1 species
AAAAGCCUCUCAGGGAGAUACGAAUUCCCUUGGUAUUAGAGAUGAAGCAAACCAUGAUUCAGAAAAGAUAGGAGGGCAAAAAGGUUUGCUUUCUGAAGAAGAUAUUGAAGAAUUGAUAUUUGGAGGCUCUGGGAGUGUUGAGAAUAUCAUAGGUGAAUUGCAGAAAAGUUCAGCCUCCUCUCCUUUUCCAGUGGCUGAUGAUUUCCAUGAUCAUCAA